rnacentral:rRNA from 1 species
UGGGGGAUAUUGCACAAUGGGCGAAAGCCUGGUGCAGCGACGCCGCGUGGGGGAUGAAGGCCUUCGGGUUGUAAACUUCUUUUGCUCUGAACAAGGCGCACCAUGGGGUGUGUUGAGUGUAGGGGUUGAUUAGCGCCGGCUAACUACGUGCCAGCAGCCGCGGUAAUACGUAGGGCGCGAGCGUUGUCCGGAAUUAUUGGGCGUAAAGGGCUUGUAGGUGGCUGGUUGCGUCUGUCGUGAAAGCUCAUGGCUUAACUGUGGGUUUGCGGUGGGUACGGGCUGGCUUGAGUGCAGUAGGGGAGGCUGGAAUUCCUGGUGUAGCGGUGGAAUGCGCAGAUAUCAGGAGGAAUACCGGUGGCGAAGGCGGGUCUCUGGGCUGUUACUGACACUGAGGAGCGAAAGCAUGGGGAGCGAACAGG